rnacentral:RNase_P_RNA from 1 species
CAAGCAGGAUGAAUGAUCGCGGCUGCAUAUGCCGAAAGGCUGCAGGUGAGGAAAGUCCGGGCUUCACAGGGCAGGAUGCCGGAUAACAUCCGGUGGAGGCGACUCCCAGGAAAGUGCAACAGAAAUAUACCGCCUAUCCGGUGCGCCGCAGCGUAUCAGCUUGUCUGAGCGCUGCGGCGUGCCGGAUGGGUAAGGGUGGAAGGGUGGUGUAAGAGACUACCGCCUUUCUGGUAACAGAAAGGGCAU